AUAUCUAUACCUGAUACUGAUAAAUCUUAUUAUUACCAAACAUGGCUUCCUCUCUUUUCAAGUUCACUGUCUUCCUCUGCAUUGCCCUCGUCCUUUUCUCUCCCAACGAGAAUGUUGCAGAAGCGAAAGUUUGUCCGAAACUAAG